rnacentral:rRNA from 1 species
AUGACGGUGACGCUCCAGGAUAUUGCUAUGAUCACCGGUCUUCCUAUCGAGGGUAAUCCUCUAUGUAUGAGCACCGAUUCUGAUGGGUGGCGCGAGCAGAUGCAUGCCCUUAUCGGUAUGGUUCCUCCGGAGGCUCGGCAACCAGAAGCAGAAGAAAAGAAGAAGGAAAGAGUUGCAGCCAAAGACUAUGUUUGCUGA